rnacentral:RNase_P_RNA from 1 species
GGAGUUGGCCAAGGCAGUCGCUGCCUUGUCGUUGUGCCUUCGGGUAGACGGACAGGGGAGAGGAAAGUCCGGGCUCCAUAGGGCAGGGUGCCAGGUAACGCCUGGGAGGCGUGAGCCUACGACCAGUGCAACAGAGAGCAGACCGCCGAUGGCCCGCAAGGGAUCAGGUAAGGGUGAAAGGGUGCGGUAAGAGCGCACCGCGCGACUGGCAACAGUUCGUGGCACGGUAAACUCCACCCGGAGCAAGACCAAAUAGGCCCCCAUUGGCGCGGCCCGCGUUGGGGG